GCUUUUUAACAUUCAGAAUGGAAAAUGAGAAAGGGCCUUAUGACAUCUUAAGAUUUUCUAUGUAAAUAAAUAAAGGCGACCUGAUAAACCAAAUACUGAGUUUGAACAAAUUAAAAAGUGAACAUUACACUGCAAAAUAGAAAAGUACCAAACUGAUCAUUCUAAUCCGAAAUGUUAGAAGAAAUCAAACCAGUUUCUGAGUUUUAUAAUUAAUAUCGUUUUUUUUUAUCUCGUUGUGAUUGCUAGAUGCACGUGAAUAGUUAAAUGGAAUAGACUUCCUUUGGAAUUUUUUUGGUGAUGGCACUUUCCAGAUAUAUUCUGUGAAGAAGAGUUUUCCCCCAUGGGAAAGAAAUGACAAGCGUUAUUUCCCAAAGACCUUUCCGUGGGUUUUGUGCAAAAUGCACAUCCACAAAGACGGGCAAAUUCCUAACACCUUUUCUUAACUGAGGCUAGGAGCACCAUUGCAUUUGUGUGCUGGCCAGCAGCCUCAAAGAGCCAGAGGAGGAGCGUGAAAACGCCAGUGAUUCUGCACAGGGAGAAGAGAUUUCACAGCAACUUAGCAAGCAAACAAGACAAAAGUUAAAGAGUGAUGGCACUAUACCUUGCCCCCGGUCACUCAGACGUGCGCUUCCCAUUUUGUACAUGAUGAAGAGUUUUGGAAACUACGUCUGAGUCCAAUGGAUCAUUUUGUUUGUGGAAUCAAAGCCCACCUAACAGUGAAACAAGCCACUGGAUAUCCUUGAAUGCUGUAUUUUGUAUCUUGGUCACUAGUUUAGCCCAUAACCGUGUAAAAAUUCACUGGGGCUAUUGUAUAAAAUCUAUACGGCUGAGCAGACUCCUGUAUCUUGUUUAUUUAAGCAGCAGAAUGAUUACAUUUGCUCUAGAUACACUAGUUUCAGGCAAAAGCAUGCAAACCACCCAGUGUAUAAAGUUCCCAAAUUUAACCAAACCACAAUCACUUUUCAAAAUCUUCUAUCACAAGUGUAUUAGACAAUCGUAUAUGCCUUU
rnacentral:lncRNA from 1 species